CAACCUGCUGGGAGGACAGGUGCUGGCAGUGUCAUGACCAUGGGCGAUGAAUCCGGCCUGUCCUAGGAGCUGACAACUAUAUCUUUGUCUCGCUGGAUUUGCAAACUGACACAACAUAAGGAAUGUCCCUCUCUAUUACUCGAUAAUCACACGCAUCUCGGUGGCAUUGGAAGCCCUGGGAGCAAAUAUCUGGGCCACAACUGCCCUCUCACUCCAGCGUGACGGGCCGAAGCUGCUGCACUGGGACAGUGACGCUCCCUUCCUUGGAGGCUUGUUGCUGUGUUUGGGAAGCUGCAUGGGCAGGGCCAAGGGUGGCCUCCAGCCAAGAGCCAGCUAGAAACCGGGCCCCUCUGUCCAACAACCCAGAAGGAGUGGAAUACCGCCAACUACCACGGAUCAUCUGGCCUCUUCCAUAUUCACUUCCCCACCUGGACCACACUGCUGAUGUGGGCAAACUUCGGUCCCAGCCUUGGCCAACAAAGUGCUGUGAACAGAUUCAGCUGCUUUACAUGACUGCUUCUCAGGCUUCCUGGGAUUGCUGCAAUUUUGGACAUUACUUCUGCUUAACCUGUCACAUAAAAAGGUGCGGGGGAUGGUCUACCCUCACUGAUUGGGACCAAGUGAGAGCAGCGAGGCCAAGUGGAGCAGCUUCAGUGAUUGCGAACAGGAUACUGGUAAAUGAGCAGGACUCCGGAGUUGGUGAGAUUGUCCUGACAACAUCAAGCACAGCCUGAAAGGAGGCAAGCGAACACAGUGUGUUUUCAAAAUCCCAGUUCUCGUGCUGUGUGUAUGUACAUAUGUGUGUUCUCAUUUAUUCCUGGGAGCUCACCUCACCCUCUUUAAGUCCCAAGUCUGACACGCACAAUCCCCAUUCUUGCAUCAAUCUCCUUGGUGCAGAAACUCUCAUUUUAGUCCCUGGCACCCCAAUGCAAAUUGUUGACAGUGUGUAAUCUCUGUGCUUAAGUAUUCCCUUCAGUUAAGUCACAAAAAGGCUACCCUCUGUUAAAGAGUACUUCAGUCAUCAGAGAAUAGGUGGGAGAAAUAACUAUAUUGGUGGACCUGGGACUCUCUCAAAAAAGGGUUAGUCCUCCUUCAUCUAAGUUUGACCUUGCCUUUGAGAGAUGAUGGAGCCUUGGCAGAUUUAAAUUACUUUUCUUGGAUAUUACUCUUUAAUAGUUGGCUAUUCCUUUGAUUUAAUCAUAACAUAAUACCUCACCCUAUUUAAUCAAAACACAGUACUAAUUAAAGAAAACUAUUAAUAUAUUUUUUAUUUGUUUAAUAUAUAAUGCCAGCCAUAUAGGUGACAUUCCAUGUAUUAUGGCUAGAUGAAUGAAUGAAUGACUUCUUGGCUACAUGCUACCAAUUGUGUGUACGUAUUUUGUGUUCAGCCUGUUUGAUCAGAAGAGUUACAUGCAGGCCAGUUUGCUUUGCUUCGUUCUGGGAUUCUCGGCUACACUUCCGACCAUGCUGCCUCGUACAUCUAUCUUGUUAGAUGUAGAAGGAAUAACACGAAAGGGUGUGGACAUAAUUAAAAAACCCUAUCAUUACAAAAUUGAAAUCAGGAUAACACAGCUCUACAUCUGUGUAUUUGGGGUGUUAAUAAUCUCACAAAGCCAAGGUAAUCAGAAGCAGAAAUAUCAAAACUCAGCUGGCAAGAGGCAUCUAAGUUAUUGAGAUACACAGGGUCUGGCAGAAGUCAGGCCUGCUUGAGUGUGGUUGGUAGGGUAAUGAUACGGGUGUAAUAAUUUAUAGUUUUAAUUUGAACAUGUCACCUAAAAUGCUAUAUGGUAUGCUUGAGUGUGAUAUUGUUCUGUUACAGAAUUACAUGCUUAUGAUCUGGUCAUAAAAGAUUUUGUAAUAAAAAAGGGGCAUUAUUUGUGCUGAACCCUGUACUUCUAGCUACUUACAACCAAAAACACGUUUAAAGUGUAACUUAAAACCAUAGAAAAUGAAUGAGGUCAAAGUUCAUAUUUGUAAUAUGGAAUAUAAAUUUCCCAAUCUGUACCACAUCUGUGGAAAGGAAAACACGGGCCACCAGAAGUCAGGAAGGCGCCCACUGUAGAGAGGCAGCCUGAUGCAGUGUUGCUUCUGAGGCCCGCCACGGACAAGUCGUGUGAACCACUGAGGGUCUAAACAAAUGGAAGCAAGCCCUUGGAUAUUCACUGUGAGAAUAACGCAGUGUACUAAUGGUUUGAAAUCCCACCUGUAUUAUUCAUUAUUCUCUUAGUCCCUCUUUGGAGUUGAGAAAAAAAGAGAGAGAGCAGACAGUCUCAUAGAAUGAGUUAACACCAGGACCAAAACAGAACUAAACAUGUUUUUGCCUUUCAUUCAGAUUUUCCCAUACAAGAUGGGACAAAACCUCUAUGUUAACUUGGAAAGAAGAUGUUAGGAAAGAUAAAAAAGGGAAGUUUUGUCGUUCAUUCACUCAACAAAGAUUUUUGAGACCUAUUAUAUAGUAGGAAAUAUACUGGCUGGUGAAAGUUCAGAGAUGACCACAGUCUGGUUGGCAGGGUAUGUCAAACAAAAGUACCCAAAUAAUUACAUAAUUACAAUUGUGAUGACUGUACAAUGGAGUACAGGGUGUUAAAAUAGCAAAGAGCAGGGGUGGCAAAUCCAGUCAAGAGGAGCUGGGAAGACCGGAGAAUUUCUUGGAGGAAGUGAUAUUUAAUCAGGACCUGAGGGAAGUAAUAUUUAAUAUAGAAUCAUGGGGUGAGGAAGGAUGCAAUGAGGUGGGGAGAGAUAUUCAGGGAUAGAGAACGACAGGACGCCAGGAAGGGCGCCAUGACCAGGCUGCUGGGAGAAGCUCAGCACAACAGAGUGAAUGGGGCAGGAGGGUAACAGGAAGUGCGGGGAGAGAGGUCAAUAGGGAAACGGCAGAUCACAUGCGCUCAUGUAAACGCAUUUACAUUCUAUUCUCAGAACAAUCGGAAGCCUCCAAAACAUUUCAGGCUAUGGAGUGACACUAGUGCUGCAUUUGGUGAAGUUCAUUCUGGCUGUGAUAUGGACAGUGGGCUAGAGAGGAGUCAGGGCGGACACAAGGAGAGCAGCUAGGGGUUGUUUCUAUGGCUAGUGAGAUGGUGGUGGAUGAAGAAGCAUAGAAAGAAACAGCAUGAUAUCUAUUCUGAAGGUAAAAUUGAUAGGCCUUGAUAAUUGAAUAUGUCAGCUAAGAAAGAAAGAAAGUAUCAAGUCCCAAGUUUCCAGGAGGAGCAAUUAGGCGACACUUACUGAGGGAUGCAGGAGAAGGGGCAGGUUUGAGAGGAUGCAGUACCAGCAGCCAACAGGCAACUGGUAUAGGGCUCUGCUGUUCUGAAGAGAGGCACUGGGGAAAAGAGGCUGGUCUAUGGGAGUGAAUGAAAGCACCAGGGAAAGAGUGUAGAUUAAAAAGGUGGAGUGGAUCUAGGGCCAAGCCAAGAAGGAUCUAAUAUGUGAAAUUCAGAUGGAAGAAAACAGCUCCUUAAAGAGAGGGGGGAGGAACCCUCAGGAAAAGAGGAGGAAAACUUGUUUAUCAAGGAGAGACUAGUAAGAUGAAGGCAGGUUUAAGUCAGACUGAUGGCGAAGUGUCCUUUGCAAUAUGAGCAAAGCAAGCCAGUGGAGUGGCCAGGACAGAACCCAGAUUGGUGUGGACAGGGAGUAAAGGGAUGGGUGGUGGGGGAAAAAGCAGAUGGCUCUGUUUAGAUGGGGAAACAACUAUAGUCAGAAGAGAUUCCUGGAUUCAGGGAGGACUUUUAUUUUUUUUUAAAGGAGAAAAAUAGAAAUACUGAUAGCAAGCAGCCACAGAUGGGAAGAAGUUGAAGACUUGGGAGAAAAAGUGCGUAACCCAUUCAGGGAAGUCCGCGGGAAGACAGAACAGAUGGAAUCAGAGCGCAGGUGGAAGUCACCGUGGAUGGCAGGUGGGGCCACUUCCUCCACCGUAGCAGCAGAAGGUUAGGGGAGGAGAGCAUGGGAACUAGAGGAAAGUGCUUACAGGUGUGGUGUAGAUAUUGGAGCUAGUUCUCUGCAGGUGGCUCCUGUUAACUCUCUGAAACAUAAAGCAGGUACUCUGGAGGAAGAGAGGAGUGGAAGAUGGGGUGUGGGGAUGAAAUUUCAAACCAGGGGCAGCAUGAAAUGAUUAUUACAGAGAACAACUUAACUACAGAAGUAAUUACUGAAUGAAAAAUGGGCCCUUUUAAGUAUUUGCAACAAGAGUCAAUUAGUCAGAAGUUGAAGUACUAUAUCAGAUAUAAAUCCUAAAGCACUAUUCUCUCACUUGUCCCCUCUUAGAUGUGGUAUGGUAUUCAAUGUCGUUCUUCGUCUAAUUUGUAAUUCCGCACAACUUAAAUCUUUCAUCUUGGAAACUGUGUUUUGAGCAGAAGUUUCUUCAAGUGGAAAACACUUAAUUACAAAAAGUAAAAAUAAAUUGUCAAAAAAAAAAAAAGGUGUGAAACAGGCACCUUUCUAGGCCAAGCGGCAUGCAUACCUUCAUUCAACCACCUCCCAGCUGUUCGGUCCCUGAUUCCUUCCCCACCUUCCUCAUUGGUUCUCUUAUUCCUCUAACACCCAGCCAAGGCCUGACUACUCCACAGUAUUGGUAUUUC